CGGUGUUUAACUGGCGUGAUGUGGGACGUCCUACCGGUGGGCUUAGCCUCGCGAGGGGCGGCCCAACUAAUAUCCCGUCGCGGUGCUCUUUACUGAGUGUCGAGUCGGGCCGGUACGUUUACUUUGAACAAAUUAGAGUGCUUAAAGCAGGCUAUCCUCGCCUGAAUACUGCGUGCAUGGAAUAAUGGAAUAGGACCUCGGUUCUAUUUUGUUGGUUUUCGGAACCCCGAGGUAAUGAUUAAUAGGGACAGAUGGGGGCAUUCGUAUUGCGACGUUAGAGGUGAAAUUCUUGGAUCGUCGCAAGACGGACAGAAGCGAAAGCAUUUGCCAAAAAUGUUUUCAUUAAUCAAGAACGAAAGUUAGAGGUUCGAAGGCGAUCAGAUACCGCCCUAGUUCUAACCAUAAACGAUGCCAGCUAGCGAUCCGCCGAAGUUCCUCCGAUGACUCGGCGGGCAGCUUCCGGGAAACCAAAGCUUUUGGGUUCCGGGGGAAGUAUGGUUGCAAAGCUGAAACUUAAAGGAAUUGACGGAAGGGCACCACCAGGAGUGGAGCCUGCGGCUUAAUUUGACUCAACACGGGAAACCUCACCAGGCCCAGACACCGGAAGGAUUGACAGAUUGAUAGCUCUUUCUUGAUUCGGUGGGUGGUGGUGCAUGGCCGUUCUUAGUUGGUGGAGCGAUUUGUCUGGUUAAUUCCGAUAACGAACGAGACUCUAGCCCUGCUAAAUAGGCGUACCUUAUGGUAUCGCGAAGGCCCCCGGCUUCGGCCGGUGGGUUUUUACUACCAACGUACAAACAAAUCUUCUUAGAGGGACAGGCGG
rnacentral:rRNA from 1 species